UACGUAGGGGGCAAGCGUUGUCCGGAUUUAUUGGGCGUAAAGCGCACGCAGGCGGUCUCUUAAGUUUCGAGUGACAGGUGGUGGCUCAACUGCCACAGGCCUUGGAAAACUGGGAGACUUGAGGACUUCAGAGGGAUGCGGAAUUCCAGGUGGAGCGGUGAAAUGCGUAGAUAUCAGGAGGAACACCGGUGGCGAAGGCGGUUCUCUGGGCAUUACCUGACGCUGAGGAGCGAAAGUGUGGGGAGCAAACAGG
rnacentral:rRNA from 1 species